rnacentral:rRNA from 1 species
CAUAGCGCGGGAAUACAGAGGGUGCGAGCGUUAAUCGGAUUUACUGGGCGUAAAGCGUGCGUAGGCGGCUUCUUAAGUCGGAUGUGAAAUCCCUGAGCUUAACUUAGGAAUUGCAUUCGAUACUGGGAAGCUAGAGUAUGGGAGAGGAUGGUAGAAUUCCAGGUGUAGCGGUGAAAUGCGUAGAGAUCUGGAGGAAUACCGAUGGCGAAGGCAGCCAUCUGGCCUAAUACUGACGCUGAGGUACGAAAGCAUGGGGAGCAAACAGGAUUAGAGACCCCGGUAGUCCCUGUCUCUUAUACAC